rnacentral:rRNA from 1 species
UACAGCGAAACUGCGAAUGGCUCAUUAAAUCAGUUAUCAUUUACUUGAUAGUGCCACCUACCACAUGGAUAACCGUGGUAAUUCUAGGGCUAAUACAUGCACAAAACCGCGACUUUUGGGAGCGGCGUGUUUAUUAGAUGCAAAAACCAAUACUCCUUUGGGGUUUCUCGGUGAUUCAUAAUAACCUGUCGAAUCGCACGUGCCUUUGCGCCGGCGAUGGCUCAAUCAAAUUUCUGCCCUAUCAACUUUCGACUUUAGCGUAGUGGGCUAAAGUGGUUGCAACGGGUAACGGAGGGUUAGGGCUCGACCCCGGAGAAGGAGCCUGAGAAACGGCUACUACAUCCAAGGAAGGCAGCAGGCGCGCAAAUUACCCAAUCCCGACGCGGGGAGGUAGUGACAAUAAAUACCGACGCGGGGCCUUUUUGGGUCCCGCGAUCGGAAUGAGCACAAUUUAAAUCCCUUAACGAGGAACGACUGGAGGGCAAGUCUGGUGCCAGCAGCCGCGGUAAUUCCAGCUCCAGUGGCGUAUAUUAAAGUUGUUGUGGUUAAAAAGCUCGUAGUUGGCUCUGGGCCCUCGGCCGGCUGGUCCGCCUCACCGCGUGCACUGGUUCGUCCGGGGCCUCCGUCCGGGGAGGCUCGUGUCCUUUACUGGGCGCGGGUGGAUCCGGGCAUUUUACUGUGAAAAAAUUAGAGUGUUCAAAGCAGGCUCCCGCUCGAAUACGUUAGCAUGGAAUAAUGGAAUAGGACGGUCGGUUCUAUUUUCGUUGGUUAUGGGACCGUCGUAAUGAUUAAUAGGGACAGUCGGGGGCGUCAGUACCGGGGGGCGAGAGGUGAAAUUCUUAGACCCCCCCGAGACUACCUACUGCGAAAGCAUUCGCCAAGGAUGUUUUCAUUAAUCAUUGAGCGAAAGUUGGGGGAUCGAAAACGAUCAGAUACCGUUGUAGUCUCAACCGUAAACGGUGCCGACUAGGGAUCGGGCGGUGCCGCCUAACUGGCCCGCCCGGCACCUCUCGAGAAAUCAAAGUGUGUGGGUUCCUGGGGGAGUAUGGUGGCAACGCUGAAACUUAAAGAAAUUGACGGAAGGGCACCACCAGGGGUGGAGCCUGCGGCUUAAUUUGACUCAACACGGGGAAACUCACCAGGUCCAGACGCGGCGAGGAUUGACAGAUUGAGAGCUCUUUCUUGAUUUCGCGGGUGGUGGUGCAUGGCCGUUCUUAGUUGGUGGAGUGAUUUGUCUGCUUAAUUGCGAUAACGAACGAGACCUUAACCUGCUAAAUAGCCCGAGCCGCUCCGGCGGCGCGCUGGCUUCUUAGAGGGACUAUCGGCUCAAGCCGAUGGAAGUUUGAGGCAAUAACAGGUCUGUGAUGCCCUUAGAUGUUCUGGGCCGCACGCGCGCGACACUGACGGGGCCAGCGGGUCCCACCUUACCCGAGAGGGUUGGGCAAUCCUGGUAAGCCCCGUCGUGCUGGGGAUAGAGCAUUGCAACUGUUGCUCUUCAACGAGGAAUCCCUAGUAGGCGCGGGUCAUCAGCCCGCGCCGAUUACGUCCCUGCCCUUUGUACACACCGCCCGUCGCUACUACCGAUUGAACGGCUCAGUGAGGCCUCCGGACUGGCCCGGGCCGGUUGGAAACGACCGGCCUAGGCCGGAAAGCUGUCCAAACUUGGUCGUUUAGAGGAAGUAAAAGUCGUAACAAGGUCUCCGUUGGUGAACCAGCGGAGGGAUCAUUA